GUGUUAUAGAGGGUUUUAGGGUUGGUUUUUAAGAUGUUAUAGGUUGUUGUUGUUCAUCUGUUUUAUUAUUCACCAAACAAAAACUGUUUAAAAGUUCAAAAAGAAAAUUAACUGCACACUUCUUAAUAAAUUACACAAUUUGGGAAAUUAAUGAGUUACAUGCCAACUUUAAUAGUUAAUAAUAGUUAAUUAUAUGGAAGUCCACACCACAACGAAUGAAAGAAACAAUAUCACUGGAAUCACUUACAGAACGAUUUUUUUCCAGCUGAUAAACUGCACUAAAACACUGAUAAAACUGCAGCGCACACUAAUAAUACACAGGACAUUAUUGUGCAUAACUUUGUAGUUCUCUUUCUUGAUGUGAACAGGACUUAAAGGUUAAAAGUAUGUUCAAGUCACUAAUCUUAAAUAAGUGUUGAUAAAAGUUUUGCUUGUCUAAGCAAAAUAAUAACUAUUUAAUUUAAUAAGUAUUUACACUAUUGGUCAAACGUAUGGAAUAAUUAUGAUUGCCACUUAAUGUUUUCAAAAGAAGUGUCUAAUGCUCACCAAGGCUGCAUUUAUUUGAUAAAAAAAUCCAGUAAAAACUAUUAUAUAGUGAAAUAUUAUUACAAUUUCAAAUAACUGUUAACUAUUUAAAUAUAUACUAAAAUGUCAUUUAUUUUUGUGACGCUGAAUUUUCAACAUAAUUACUCCAGUCUUCAGUGACACGUGAUCCUUCAGAAAUAUAUGCAACUUUUUUCUUCUUUCCAAAACAUUAAGAAAUCUUAAUUAUUCCAGACUUUUUAUCAGUAGUGGGCAUUGUACUUCCCAUCAAAUUAGUAAAAGUUAACUUAUUUCAAUAAAAAAAACAAUUGGUUGUAAAAUUAUAAAUAUUCCUAAACUCACCUUGAAUUAAUUUAAAUGUGCUGUAAGGAAUAAGAACGUACUAUUUUGUGUUGCAAAGUCUUUUGUGGAUUCACACACACACAGUGGCACCUCAUGACUUUACUGUCUCCUUCAUGUGUGAUCUGUUGGAGGGCUGUUCAUUUGCAUCGCCCAGGGCAAAGUUUCCCUCUGGCAGUGAUCCGUGGACCUGGCUGGGCCGCUCACCUCAGUGUGAUGAAAACUGCUGCUUCUCCCACAGACACUGGUAGACGGAGUUCAGCCCCGACAGCUCCCAUACAACACAGAGAGAGGGACCGCUGUUCAAUUAGCUCCUUCAAAUACAAUCACAAAAGUGACAUUAUUUUGGUGGCAAAUCAACAGCAGAAGCAUCAAGAAGUGUUACCAAUGGAUUUGUUACCAGAAUUCUGCCAGGAUGCAGAGAAACAAAGGCUGAUAAUGGGCCAGAAAGUAAAGUGCUCUGCAAUUACACCAGCAGGACGUAAUUGACUGGGAGAAGAACAGACCAUGUCUGAUCAUCAGUGAACAACAAAAGAGCAGCUGCUUAGACAGAGUUUCCUCUAAGAGCCGUACCCUUGAUCCUAUGAUGCUAACAUCCAACACAGACCCUCCUCGUGGCCAUCAGGAAUCCCCCCGUGGGCGAGCCUGUGCUUUAUUCCGAGCUCCAGUUCUCCUCAGGGGUCCCCAGGCACCGCCGGGGUCAUGGCUAACCCAGGCACGGUGUCAGCAAUUCGUCUGAGAUGCCACGAGUUCAUGAUACACCUCAGCUCAGGAGGAGAUCCACACAUGAUGAGAGAAGUGUGGGGUCAUGGAGUUCACAGUAACUAGAGACUCUGGCUGUCAGACUCAACAGAGAAAACCUGACGGAACACACACGUUUUCGAGCUUUAUAACAUAGCCUUCUGUUGUUUUUAUAUAAAGCUUACUGAAUUACAGACUGCCUAAAAAAUAUAUAUUUUUUUUUCUAGAAACGUUAGAAAUGCAGAUUUCUUCUAAAAAAAAGUUUUUGUCAGGUUUACCUCACUUCUGAGGACAAUUUUAAGUAGCCUAAAUCCACACACGGAUAAAAAUAAAUAAAACGCUUCAACAACCUGAUUAAUUUUU
ensembl:lncRNA